rnacentral:rRNA from 1 species
CUGGUCUGAGAGGAUGAUCAGCCACACUGGAACUGAGACACGGUCCAGACUCCUACGGGAGGCAGCAGUGAGGAAUAUUGCGCAAUGGGGGCAACCCUGACGCAGCAACGCCGCGUGAGUGAGGAAGGUUUUCGGACCGUAAAGCUCUGUCGAGCGGGAAGAAAUGCAUGGUGGCUAAUAUCCAUCAUGCUUGACGGUACCGCUAAAGGAAGCACCGGCUAACUCCGUGCCAGCAGCCGCGGUAAUACGGGGGGUGCGAGCGUUGUUCGGAAUUAUUGGGCGUAAAGAGCGUGUAGGCGGCCGAAUAAGUCAGAUGUGAAAUCCCUGGGCUUAACCCAGGACGUGCAUUUGAAACUAUUCGGCUUGAGUAGGGGAGAGGAAAGUGGAAUUCCUGGUGUAGAGGUGAAAUUCGUAGAUAUCAGGAGGAACACCGGUGGCGAAGGCGACUUUCUGGCCCUAUACUGACGCUGAGACGCGAGAGCGUGGGUAGCAAACAGGAUUAGAUACCCUGGUAGUCCACGCUGUAAACGAUGUUCACUAGGUGUUGGGGGUAUUGACCCUCUCAGUGCCGCAGCUAACGCA